rnacentral:lncRNA from 1 species
CUACUAUUUUGUGUAAUACCAUCAUAUCGGCUGCUGUUAACUAUCAGUACCUGAAUUUUGGAGGGAACACAUUCAAACUAUAGCAUUUAUUUAGGCUAAAAAGAUAGUUCAUUGUCAGUGUAUGAAAAACCUACUGAUUUUUUACGUUGAUUUUAUAUACUGCAACUUUAUUGAAUUCUCAACAAAUGGUGUUGAAAAAACUGGAUGUCCUCAUGAAGAAGAAUGAAAUUGAACACAUCACAUCCCAUAUACAAGAAUCAACUCAAAGCACUGAUGCUCUCAGUUGAUCUAGCAAAUAGGCAUCUGUCACAGAAAAUAGAGAAGAUAUCCCAAGAGAAGAGGAGAAACUCCACAAUGUGAAGAGAUUUCCAGAGGCAUCAGCACUCCGUCUGUCACUAUUGGCAUCCUGUGACAUGGUUUAGUUUAUGCGUGCUGAUUCUGUUUCAGAAGUGAAAUGAAGAAAAAUACUUUUCAGAGAGCC